GUAGGUGGCAAGCGUUGUCCGGAUUUACUGGGCGUAAAGAGCGCGCAGGCGGUCGAGUAAGUCGAAUGUGAAAGCCCCCGGCUCAACUGGGGAUCGUCAUUCGAUACUGUUCGACUUGAAGAUGGGAGAGGGAAGCGGAAUUUCAGGUGUAGUGGUGAAAUGCGUAGAUAUCUGAAGGAACACCAGUGGCGAAGGCGGCUUUCUGGCCCACUCUUGACGCUGAGGCGCGAAAGCUAGGGGGAGCGAACGGGAUUAGAUACCCCGGUAGUCCUAGCUGUAAACGAUGAACACUAGAUGUUGGUGGUAUCAACCCCCCCCGCCAGUGUCGUAGCUAACGCAUUAAGUGUUCCGCCUGGGAUACGGCCGCAAGGCUA
rnacentral:rRNA from 1 species